UUGUAGCUCAAUGGUAGAGCGUCCGACUACUGCGCGGAAAGUCACAGGUUCGACUCCUGUUGGUAAAA
rnacentral:tRNA from 1 species